rnacentral:lncRNA from 1 species
CGGCGGGCUCGGCUCCGGUCGCGCCGAACGCAGGCGCUCUCUCCGGCCGCUCGCCGGGGGCCGGGACUCGAUGGGGCGGGCGUGACGAGCCCGGCUGGCAGCAGCGUGUCGCGCACAUGUGCCCCCGCGGCGACCGAUGCCAGGUGCGAGGCUGGGGGCAGAGUUUACCGCCGGUCUCUGACGGCUCUGCGGGUUUCCCAGCCCAGGGGGUGUGGGAGGGGUCCUUUCCCAGUUCAGGGCAAAUACCUUCGUUUCACUGGGAAAUUCAACCUCUCCUUGGAGCUGGAUCCAUUAUACGGGUUUAAUAUCCGCUCUUUUACAGCUCAGUGUUGUAAAAGGCAGCAGCCAGGACCAGGAUGCUGGGGAAUGCAGAGCCCAGGAGGGAAGGUGAGACCAAGCAACAGUGAGGACACACAGCAGAAGUAGAUGGGCAAACCUGCAGCACACCUUCACCCUUGGACCUCACUGCACCUCUUCCUAAAGAUAACACAGGAAGAAGAUCACCCCACAUACAAGCAGUUUUUCAUUCCUCACUGCCAGCUGCCAACAGCUUUAACCUCAGUUUACACAUUGUCUAUGCUGCGGUUCUGCAGAAAGCACCGCUCUGCAAACAGGAGAGUGGCAGGGACACCCAGCUGCCCCAGGCCCACCCAGCUCCCCUGUCCCUGGCACCCUGCACUGCUCCACGGGCAGGGGCACACCACAAGCCUGCCCCAGAAUGCAGGUGCCCGACUCCAGCAGGUCUCAGAGCGCCUGCCCACGGAGCCCGACGUCAGCUGGCAGGAGCCCCUUGCCAGCAGAGCCCCCGUGUGCUCCCCAGCCCAGCAGCUGCACUCCCUGCCCAGCCAGAGCCUCCUCUGCCCCGGGGCUGGCAGGGCUCUUCUGGCAGAGAAGAGUCAGGCAUGA